rnacentral:rRNA from 1 species
GGCGAACGCUGGCGGCGUGCUUAACACAUGCCAGUCGAACGGAAAGGCCCUGCUUUUGUGGGGUGCUCGAGUGGCGAACGGGUGAGUAACACGUGAGUAACCUGCCCUUGACUUUGGGAUAACUUCAGGAAACUGGGGCUAAUACCGGAUAGGAGCUCCUGCUGCAUGGUGGGGGUUGGAAAGUUUCGGCGGUUGGGGAUGGACUCGCGGCUUAUCAGCUUGUUGGUGGGGUAGUGGCUUACCAAGGCUUUGACGGGUAGCCGGCCUGAGAGGGUGACCGGCCACAUUGGGACUGAGAUACGGCCCAGACUCCUACGGGAGGCAGCAGUGGGGAAUAUUGCACAAUGGGCGGAAGCCUGAUGCAGCAACGCCGCGUGCGGGAUGACGGCCUUCGGGUUGUAAACCGCUUUCGCCUGUGACGAGGCGUGAGUGACGGUAAUGGGUAAAGAAGCACCGGCUAACUACGUG